UACGAAGGGGGCUAGCGUUGCUCGGAAUCACUGGGCGUAAAGGGCGCGUAGGCGGGAUGGCAAGUCAGUCGUGAAAUCUCUCGGCUCAACCGAGAAACGUCGGCUGAUACUGCCGUUCUUGAGGGAUGCAGAGGAGACUGGAAUUCCCGGUGUAGCGGUGAAAUGCGUAGAUAUCGGGAGGAAUACCGAUGGCGAAGGCAGGUCUCUGGGCUAUAACUGACGCUCAUGCACGAAAGCGUGGGGAGCAAACAGG
rnacentral:rRNA from 1 species